AGCAAAAAACUCCGCUCCAGCGCUUCGACGACGAGAAAGACAGCGACGCCGCCGCCGCUCCCUCCGCCCGGUACGUGCGCACGCUACACGAGCUGCGCCAGUUCAAGACUGCCGGGAACCCCUUCACGGAUGAGUUCUUCGAUACCUUCGACGCCGUUUACCAGCAGCAGCUGGACAUGCUGAAGAAGCUGCAGCAGCGCCAGCACCGGCUCGACAAGAAGGUCAAGACCAUCCAGGCGUGGCGCCGGGUGUCAAGCAUCAUCUUCGCGACCACGUUCGCGGCCGUGCUCAUCUGCUCGAUUGUUGCCGCGGUCAUCGCUGCCCCGCCUGUCGCUGCGGCAUUGGCCGCGGCUGCUGCAGUCCCGCUGGGAUCCAUGGGGAAGUGGUUUGAUUCGUUGCUGAAAGGGUGUCAGGACGCGGUCAACAGACAGGAGGGGGUGGUGAGCGAAAUGCAGUUUGGCACAUUGAUUGCCAUCAAGGAUUUGGAGAAUAUCAAAGUCCUCAUCAAACGGGUGGAGGAGGAAAUCAGCUCAAUGAUAGACUGCGUAGAGUUUGCAGAGCGGGAUGAGGAGGCGGUGAAAUUUGGGGUGGAGGAGAUCAAGAAGAAGCUGGAAAGCUUCAUGAAGAGUGUCGAGGAUCUAGGAGAGCAAGCAGACCGAUGUACCCGGCAUAUCCAUAGGGCAAGGACCCUUGUUCUGGGAAGGAUCAUCCGACAUCCAAACUGAAAAAAAAAACAAAAGGGAAAUGCAAGGGAUGACAGUGACGUGCAUGACAGAGUGUGUGGCUGAGACGAGCGAGCAAGCAAGCAAAGUGACCAGUACUGUGUCCUAAAGCAACAAGUAAUGCUCGUGAACUUAUGUGAAGAAGGAUUCAUAUAACUGUCAACUACCCAAAUCUCUACUGUUUAUGGCUAAGGCCACCAGAGUGCAACUCGACGACGAUGAAUGAAGCUGUACAACAACUCGACGAUGAUGAAUGAAGCUAUACAGUGAGAAUGUAUACACAAUGUUUGACAGAGCCACCUCAUUCACAAUGUCAUAUACUGCUGUACAGCUACAGAUGAUGACUUUAGCUAUUCAACUCGACAACAAAGCAGCUUGUUUGACAGCAAUUCACAAGUCAUAUACACAAUGUUUGUCAAGUUCUUAGCCAUACACAAUGUCGCCAACCAUCAAAAUAACCUAAAAUUCCAUAGAUAAUCAUGUCAGAGGUACAGUGAACUGUUUAGCUCACAAUUAGACAUCCAACGGUAACAACAGUGUUGGCGCCGAUUUGGUCACCAAAACACUAAAAUGAACCGUCUGGUGGUAUUGACACCUUUAGAUAAUGCAGGAUCAAAUAAAGUUGAAAACCUUUAGUAUUGACACCUGUUGGGGGCCUUCGGCUUCCGAAGGUCCUCAAAAAACAUGAUUUAACAGUGUUUCUAGAGUGUAAUGUGUGAACAGGUACCUUCGGACUUAUGUCAAAGAGGGAGAACCUCAAAAGAUACGAAGGUUGGCAGUGCCGAAGCUGUGAAGCAGGAAAGCUUCGGCAUGUUCGCAGAAAAGGGAACCGACUUAAAGAUGAAAAGGCCAUUUAGACCUCGAUAGAUUGCUAUGGAAUUAUCACCAAAUGUAAAGGGCAUGUAUGUAAUUUUGUAUGGGUUGUAUUCCGUGCCUAUAAAUAGGUGAACAGUACCCCCGUACUGUUCACGCUGACUUGGCAUUUGCUUUUGCGUCACGCUUGUGCUUUUUAUCUUCUCUCAGGACCGAAGGUACAUUUGUAAUCUAAAAUCAUUUCUAUUUUUCCAUGUCAAUAAAAUAGAAAUGAUUCUAUG